UACGUAGGGGGCUAGCGUUGUUCGGAAUUACUGGGCGUAAAGCGCGCGUAGGCGGCUUUGUAAGUUAGAGGUGAAAGCCCGGAGCUUAACUCCGGAACUGCCUUUAAGACUGCAUCGCUAGAAUCGUGGAGAGGUGAGUGGAAUUCCGAGUGUAGAGGUGAAAUUCGUAGAUAUUCGGAAGAACACCAGUGGCGAAGGCGGCUCACUGGACUGGUAUUGACGCUGAGGUGCGAAAGCGUGGGGAGCAAACAGG
rnacentral:rRNA from 1 species